rnacentral:rRNA from 1 species
UACGUAGGGUGCAAGCGUUGUCCGGAAUUAUUGGGCGUAAAGAGCUCGUAGGCGGUCUGUUGCGUCGGCUGUGAAAACCCGAGGCUCAACCUCGGGCCUGCAGCCGAUACGGGCAGACUAGAGUUCGGCAGGGGAGACUGGAAUUCCUGGUGUAGCGGUGAAAUGCGCAGAUAUCAGGAGGAACACCGGCGGCGAAGGCGGCACUCUGGGCCGGUACUGACGCUGAGGAGCGAAAGCGUGGGUAGCAAACAGG